CGGAGCCUACGGGACGCAGCAGUGGGGAAUAUUGGACAAUGGGGGGAACCCUGAUCCAGCAACGCCGCGUGAGUGAAGAAGUAUUUCGGUAUGUAAAGCUCUAUCAGCAGGGAAGAAAGAAAUGACGAUACCUGACUAAGAAGCCCCGGCUAACUACGUGCCAGCAGCCGCGGUAAUACGUAGGGGGCAAGCGUUAUCCGGAUUUACUGGGUGUAAAGGGAGCGUAGACGGCGAUGCAAGUCUGAAGUGAAAGGCGGGGGCCCAACCCCCGGACUGCUUUGGAAACUGUAUGGCUGGAGUGCAGG
rnacentral:rRNA from 1 species